AGAAUCAACGCUGGCGGCGUGCCUAACACAUGCAAGUCGCACGAGAAAGGGGAGCAAUCCCUGAGUAAAGUGGCGCACGGGUGAGUAACACGUGAAUGAUCUACCUCCGAGUGGGGAAUAACUGAGAGAAAUCUUAGCUAAUACCGCAUAACACUUACGAGUCAAAGCAGCAAUGCGCUUGGAGAGGAGUUCGCGGCCGAUUAGUUAGUUGGCGGGGUAAUGGCCCACCAAGACGAUGAUCGGUAUCCGGCCUGAGAGGGCGCACGGACACACUGGAACUGAAACACGGUCCAGACUCCUACGGGAGGCAGCAGUGGGGAAUUUUGCGCAAUGGGGGAAACCCUGACGCAGCAACGCCGCGUGGAGGAUGAAGCCCCUUGGGGUGUAAACUCCUUUCGAUCGGGAAGAUAAUGACGGUACCGAUAUAAGAAGCCCGGCUAACUUCGCGUCAGCAGCCGC
rnacentral:rRNA from 1 species